GUAGAUUAGAGGCGAUACUUCCCAUUAUGAUGCUGUGGCUAAUUCAGCUGCAUCCGGAGUACUGUCUGCAGGCCUUAAUUCUGGCUCUCAAUCGAGCUGGUGGUAAGUCCGGAAAUAAAGGUGCUGAAGCAGCGCUGACAGCUAUUGAAAUGGCUUCUUUGUUUGAACACCAUCUGAAAUUUUAGGAAGCAGGCGCUGUCGACG